AAUGUUUUCAUGCAAUGAGAAUGGCUGCCUGUGUGUCAUGGGCAUUGUCUACCUCACUAGACAGUUAUAGGAUAGGGGAUAGCUAGUAUAUUGAAGGGAUAUUUCCUGUACUGCAGUACAAUAAUAUAACACGCCUUAUUUGAAAACCACAGGAGACAAUUAUUAGCAUGUAUGACAGCAAACAUAUCAAUUCACACAGCAAAACCACAAGUGUUAUG